rnacentral:rRNA from 1 species
UACGUAGGGUGCGAGCGUUAAUCGGAAUUAUUGGGAGUAAAGGGUGCGUAGGCGGUUUGUUGUGUGGGAGGUGAAAGCCCCGGGCUUAACCUGGGAAUGGCCGUUGAAACUGGCGAACUGGAGUGUGGCAGAGGGGGGUGGAAUUCCGCGUGUAGCAGUGAAAUGCGUAGAGAUGCGGAGGAACACCGAUGGCGAAGGCAGCCCCCUGGGCUAACACUGACGCUCAGGCACGAAAGCGUGGGGAGCAAACAGG